rnacentral:rRNA from 1 species
CUCAAAUGAAUUGACGGGGGCCCGCACAAGCGGUGGAGCAUGUGGUUUAAUUCGAUGCAACGCGAAGAACCUUACCUGGUCUUGACAUCCACAGAACUUAGCAGAGAUGCUUUGGUGCCUUCGGGAACUGUGAGACAGGUGCUGCAUGGCUGUCGUCAGCUCGUGUUGUGAAAUGUUGGGUUAAAGUCCCGCAACGAGCGCAACCCUUAUCCUUUGUUGCCAGCGGUCCGGCCGGGAACUCAAAGGAGACUGCCAGUGAUAAACUGGAGGAAGGUGGGGAUGACGUCAAGUCAUCAUGGCCCUUACGACCAGGGCUACACACGUGCU